AAGCAACAAGCCGACGUGCUUGGUCAACUCAACAGUGCUGAUGGUUUGAGAACCCGACUGGUAGAGAUAAUCUUGGACGAGCUAACUUACCACAGAAAAGUACUUCCCUCAUUUCUUCAGGUAUUUAAUGACCCUAAAUGGAAGCUUGAAAUCAUCGUGCAGUAUUUAUUAAAAUACACUAAGCUGUCUGUUCGCACUCGUAGAUCAAAUGGUCCUUCGGA